rnacentral:rRNA from 1 species
ACGAACGCUGGCGGCGUGCUUAACACAUGCAAGUCGAACGGAAAGGCCCUGCUUUUGUGGGGUGCUCGAGUGGCGAACGGGUGAGUAACACGUGAGUAACCUGCCCUUGACUUUGGGAUAACUUCAGGAAACUGGGGCUAAUACCGGAUAGGAGCUCCUGCUGCAUGGUGGGGGUUGGAAAGUUUCGGCGGUUGGGGAUGGACUCGCGGCUUAUCAGCUUGUUGGUGGGGUAGUGGCUUACCAAGGCUUUGACGGGUCGCCGGCCUGAGAGGGUGACCGGCCACAUUGGGACUGAGAUACGGCCCAGACUCCUACGGGAGGCAGCAGUGGGGAAUAUUGCACAAUGGGCGGAAGCCUGAUGCAGCAACGCCGCGUGCGGGAUGACGGCGUUCGGGUUGUAAACCGCUUUCGCCUGUGACGAAGCGUGAGUGACGGUAAUGGGUAAAGAAGCACCGGCUUUCUACGUU